GACGAACGCUGGCGGCACGCUUAACACAUGCAAGUCGAGCGAACCACUUCGGUGGUGAGCGGCGAACGGGUGAGUAACACGUAGGUGAUCCGCCCAUCAGAUGGGGACAACGAUUGGGAACGAUCGCUAAUACCGGAUAGGACGAAAGUUUAAAGGUGCUUCUGGCACCGCUGAUGGAUGAGCCUGCGGCGCAUUAGCUAGUUGGUAGGGUAAAGGCCUACCAAGGCGACGAUGCGUAGCCGACCUGAGAGGGUGAACGGCCACACUGGGACUGAGACACGGCCCAGACUCCUACGGGAGGCAGCAGUAGGGAAUCUUCGGCAAUGGGCGAAAGCCUGACCGAGCAACGCCGCGUGAAUGAUGAAGGCCUUCGGGUUGUAAAAUUCUGUUAUAAGGGAAGAACGACUUUAGUAGGAAAUGGCUAGAGUGUGACGGUACCUUAUGAGAAAGCCACGGCUAACUACGAGCCAGCCGCCGCCGUAACAC
rnacentral:rRNA from 1 species